rnacentral:misc_RNA from 1 species
GUGGAGGACCUGAUAUUGGUGGGGUGAGGUUCCUAAAUGAUUAUGGGAAGCAGCAAUGCAUCGCAGAAGUGAUAAGUAAACUUUAGAGAGGGUGCGGGAGGAGGAUUGGGUAGUCUUAGGAGGGUUUAGUUGUUGCAUGACAGUAUGCGAAAGUAGGAUGGCAAUGGUACACAUAUUCAUUGCUUACAUUAGAGAGUAUGAGGUAAUGGUGAUGAAAGGUGGGCAAAGUAAUUCUAUAUGUGGUGCAUUCCUUGAGAGAGAGAGUUUGAGUCACCAAUGAGAAAAAAAAAAUGGUGUGUGUGUGUGACAGAUAUCUCUAUAUAUAAAUAUUGCAAGUACCUAAUAAAAAUAUGAAGUAAUGUCAUUUGUAAAUUUAGAUGGAGAUAAAUGGAAAUAUGCCAUGUGUUUGAAAAUAUACGUUUAACUUUUUUAAAUUUACCAAAAGUGGUGAGAAAAAUAAUAAUUUAAAGAUAAGGUGUGAUUAAUCUAUUUUACAUGCAAGAGAUGUGAUAAUUAAAGGGAUGCAUGAAAUAUUAGUUUUAAAUAUCAAAUAAUAAUGACAGUUAGUCAAUACAUAUAUCUUGAACAUGUCAUUGUUUUCUACAAAUGAUAGUUUCUCUCGCCUGAGUUCAAUGCAUAUGACUUUAACAUGGAAUUUUUGUAUAGGGUGGUGCUGAGAGAGAGCAAGG